UGCACAGAAUGCCACAGUGACCCUGAUGCC
rnacentral:piRNA from 1 species